UACUAGCUUUAUAGAGUAGUAAGUCUUGAGGUUGGGUAAAGUCAGUCCUCCAACUUAGUUCUUCUCCUUCAAUAUUGUGUUGUCUACUCGGGCUCUUUUGCCUUUCCA